rnacentral:lncRNA from 1 species
UUCACCAAAAAAUUACAAAUUGAUCGUCUUUUUUUGUCUGUCCAUCCAUCAGACAUAAUGGUACAACAUGUUCUCUUCCAUUCAUCCUUAUACUCUUCAAGUUCUAUAUCAGUUCUGUCUACGACUUGUUUCAAAAGCUUCUCUCUAAUAUCAUGAUAUGUUGGAGGUUUAUAGCCAACACCAUAUCUACCAAUCAUGUCACACAUCUUUGCAAAAGCUGGAUUUCUAAUAACAUUGAAUGGGAUGGCAC